rnacentral:rRNA from 1 species
UACGAAGGGGGCUAGCGUUGCUCGGAAUCACUGGGCGUAAAGCGCACGUAGGCGGAUUGUUAAGUCAGGGGUGAAAUCCUGGAGCUCAACUCCAGAACUGCCUUUGAUACUGGCGAUCUUGAGUUCGGGAGAGGUGAGUGGAACUGCGAGUGUAGAGGUGAAAUUCGUAGAUAUUCGCAAGAACACCAGUGGCGAAGGCGGCUCACUGGCCCGAUACUGACGCUGAGGCACGAAAGCGUGGGGAGCAAACAGGG